GCACCACCAGGAGUGGAGCCUGCGGCUUAAUU
rnacentral:ncRNA from 2 species